CCUACGGGUGGCAGCAGUCGGGAAUAUUGCUCAAUGGGGGAAACCCUGAUGCAGCGACGCCGCGUGGGGGAUGAAGUUUUUCGGCUUGUAAAGUCCUUUUAUUAGGGAAGAUAAUGACGGUAUCUGACUAAUAAGCCCCGGCUAACUACGUGCCAGCAGCCGCGGUAAUACGGAGGGGGCAAGCGUUAUCCGGAAUCACUGGGUGUAAAGAGCGCGUAGACGGGAGUGCAAGUCAGGAGUGAAAUCCCAGGGCUUAACCCUGGAACUGCAUUUGAAACUGUGAGGCUAGAGUAAGGGAGAGGUAGGUGGAAGUCCUGGUGUAGGGGUAAAAUGCGUAGAGAUUAAGAGGAAGACCGAUGGCGAAGGCGACCUGCUAGAAUGUAACUGACGUUGAGGCGCGAAAGCGUGGGGAGCAAACAGGAUUAGAUACCCUAGUAGUC
rnacentral:rRNA from 1 species